rnacentral:rRNA from 1 species
UACGGGGGGAGCAAGCGUUGUUCGGAUUUACUGGGCGUAAAGGGCGCGUAGGCGGCCAGCACAAGUCAGUUGUGAAAUCUCCGAGCUUAACUCGGAAAGGUCAACUGAUACUGUGCGGCUAGAGUGCGGAAGGGGCAACUGGAAUUCUUGGUGUAGCGGUGAAAUGCGUAGAUAUCAAGAGGAACACCUGCGGCGAAGGCGGGUUGCUGGGCUGACACUGACGCUGAUGCGCGAAAGCGUGGGGAGCAAACAGG